CCUACGGGAGGCUGCAGUGGGGAAUUUUGGACAAUGGGCGCAAGCCUGAUCCAGCCAUUCCGCGUGAGUGAAGAAGGCCUUCGGGUUGUAAAGCUCUUUCGGCCGGGAAGAAAUCGCACGGGUUAAUACCCUGUGUGGAUGACGGUACUGGAAGAAGAAGCACCGGCUAACUACGUGCCAGCAGCCGCGGUAAUACGUAGGGUGGGAGCGUUAAUCGGACGUACUGGGCCGAAAUUGUAAGCAGGCUGUUCAAUCCCCGGGCUUAACCUGGGAACUGCGGUUGUGACUGCAAGACUUGAGUGCGGCAGAGGGGGGUGGAAUUCCACGUGUAGCAGUGAAAUGCGUAGAGAUGUGGAGGAACACCGAUGGCGAAGGCAGCCCCCUGGGUCGACACUGACGCUCAUGCACGAAAGCGUGGGGAGCAAACAGGAUUAGAUACCCGUGUAGUC
rnacentral:rRNA from 1 species